UCCAAUUCUCCGGCACUCAUCAUAACAGGGCUAUAGAUGCCGAGCACCAAAACACAAUAUAUUAGAUGAUGAUGAGCUAACUGUGAGAGCCCGUGCAGGCGUGUAUUUAGUUCCGCAUCGGUUAUUUAUUGAAUAGAUCUUGGAUUUUUAUACAGGAUCAAACAACCCAAAUAAUACCUUUUGGUUAGUCAUUUUGGGUGAGGUUCUAGAUUAUUACAAAUAGUAUUAGAGCGGAUCCGGCUCGUAGUUUUUGUGGACUAGGGAACACUGCAGCACGGAUCCAUUGAGGCUAACCACGAGCCGAUCGUGGUGUUUGUGAUUAGAUUUGAUGAAUGAAUUUGAACCUUUAGCCUGACGAGAACGUCAGGAUUUGAAUGAAAAAAAGUACAUGAGGAUCCAUGCGGAUGUGUGUUUAGUCCCAUAAUAUUGGUUAUUCGCUGGAUAACAAAUACAUAAUGUGAAUUUAUUUAUCAUAAUACAAGUUUCACAACGAUCCAAUUGAGAAGAUUUGGGCAAGCAUUUCAGGUAGGUAAAAGAUUAAUUGUCUUGCA
rnacentral:lncRNA from 1 species